AGCAAAGGAAACAAUCACUUCAAUUAAUCUCAUAUCAAUUUCGGAUCCUAAACGCAGCAAUUAACCAAGUAAGCCGCCUGGCUUAUUGUAAACCCUGUUCUGCCACAUUUUUCAUUUAAAAAUCCAUCAAGCACCAGUUAAGUUUAAUCCAAUAUGAAAGACCCAAUCAAAGGAAAGCGAAUGGGGAAACCCCGAGUUCAACCCUGGCCAUGGUCUAUUUUCUGAUCCGUGAACGCCAAUAUAAAUUCCAUAUACACACAAGGCAGAACCUCUGUGUGUGGGGGAAAAUGGAAAAUGUCCAUUUUAAAAAUAGAUUUAUUGAUUGUAACAAAUUUUUAUAUUUCACUAGAGCAAGAAGGAAAACCAGAAAACUGGGCCCAUCCCCUGGAAAACCCACCGAACCAUCCAACCAACACCCUCGACAGAUGAGCUUGCCAAGGGCGGAGGGGAUAAUAUAUAUAUGUAGGCGGUUGACAGGUUUGCCAUCUUCAUCACCGUCAAUUCAGAUGAACACCCAAAAAGAGACUUGCGCAGAAUUGCGGACCACCACUUACCAAAACUUCGUAGCAGAUUUCCCUCAGCUCCUUCUCCACACGCUCUCUGUACUCACGGGCGAGCUGCUGUUUUC